CUGCUCAGAUUUGCCUUGAGAGAGGUACAACUGUGGGUUCUAGAAAUGGUAAAUAUGUUACUAUUUUUAAUAAUUUUCUCCAUGUUGUUAAUUUCUUCAUAUCAGCCUUACUUUCAAUAAGUCUUGGUAAAAAAACAAAAACAAACAAAAAACUCCAAAAAACUAGUCAAGUGUCAGCUGUGUUUUGGAGAAGCCUAUAUGGUGCUUGAAGAUGGUUUUCAGAUAGCAGAAGAGGCUAUGUGGAAGCCCAGAGACUGGUCUGAAGCCAAGUCAUGACCAGUGAUAACUAGGAUAUGUUUUCUAGAGUGCUUCCAAGGCCUUUAUAUUCUCUACACUCGACAGAGGGAUUAAGCUUUCUCCACUGAAAGGGUCUAUGUGUGGGCAACAGGAAAGAGAGGCCCGAGGGCUGGAGAGGUGAAGACCUUUGCUCCAUAGUUUGACCCACAGCUCAGUGUACUAACUAGUUUCUAAUUGUUUUGUUUUUGUUUUUGUUUUUGUUUUUGUCUCAUAGUUAAGACUGGAUUUCCACCUCACAUUUUAGUAGACUAUGGUGAGGCAGAUUCUCAUCUGUUGAAUCUUGAACGGUUGGCACUGGAGUUGCAGAACUGGACCAGGCUCUGGCAAAGUUAUUUUUGCCAGUUGAUCAGUAUCAAACCAAGUCAGCGAGCUGGUUGGUUAGCAGUAGAUCAUGGAGAAGUUCCUCACAUAUCUGUCAGGUGGACCUCACCCAACCAGCUGAUAUCCUGAAUUAAACAGAAGAUUGGCUUUUUCCAGGAGGGAGGAAAUCCCACAGCAGAUAGUCUUAUGACUUGAAUGACAUUCCUGUCUCACACCCCACGACAUUCCUGAUAGUGUCCUGGAGACUGCCUUCUGCUGGGGUCCUGGGAUGACUUGCUGCCUGCCGUCCAGCUGCUGCCAGAUUGAACGAGUCAGCUAAGCUUUCAGUUCUCACAAGGAAACACCCCAAGCGGGCGCCAGAGACCCCACCAUCCGCCAGGACUCCUCAGCUCCACGGUGCUGCUGGAGGAGCUUCUGCACGCCUGCCUUCGAAGCUGCAGCUUUUCCAGAGACAGUGCAGCCAAGAGACCCGCAGGCCCCUCCUCUCGGUCCCCUCAGCCUUACUCUGGGGCUGCUUGAUAUGCAGCCAGCAUCCACUCAACAUAAUGCGCCUUACCUGCCAAUGUGCUUUGAGGGAUAUUGUUAGCAUUAAAUUUUCCAUUUACAUUUUCAUGUUUGACAUAAUUGAGGAAUGAAUGCUCUUAUGAAAAUUAAACUUGUGGUUCUCCUGGGCUGCUGUAACCCUGUUAAAAUGUAAUGUGAUUUUUGAUGCUU